UCCCUGGUGGUCUAGUGGCUAAGACUCCCAUGCUCCAGAGCAGGGGGCCCAGGUUCAAUUCUUGGUCAAGGAA
rnacentral:tRNA from 1 species